AACGUAGGUGGCGAGCGUUAUCCGGAUUCAUUGGGCGUAAAGAGCUUGUAGGCGGCCACAUAAGUUGGACGUGAAAACUCCGGGCUUAACUUGGAGAGGCCGUUCAAUACUGUGAGGCUGGAGGGUGUCAGAGGGAAGUAGAAUUCCUGGUGUAGCAGUGAAAUGCGUAGAUAUCAGGAGGAAUACCCGUGGCGAAGGCGGCUUCCUGGGGCACCACUGACGCUGAGAAGCGAAAGCUAGGGGAGCAAACGGG
rnacentral:rRNA from 1 species